rnacentral:lncRNA from 1 species
CCCAAGAUCAAUAUCGAGAUUGCUUCGAUUGCCUCCACUAAAACUUGCGGAGGUACCGUUUCCUUGGUAGCCAAGAAAGUUCAAGCGCAGGGUGGUGUCAUUCUUCACAUGUUCAUUGCUGUUGAGAGCCAUGGGGAAAGGCUGAAUCUUUUAGAGCUAAACACUAAAAACUAACUAUGGAAAUUGGGGAAAGGCUGUAUCUUUUUAUCACUAGCAGAGCGGUUUCGGAACUUUGAGGAAGAAGUAGGAGUAUCGUCCGCCAUUUACGAAGCCUGAAGUGUCAGACCUGUCCAUCUUCCCAAGUGAAGAUACUGACUAGUGUAGUGUAGUAGUGACUGACAGUUGACAAGUUUAGCAAGUAUCUGACGACAUUUCUCGGGUAAAAGCCUCGAAUUUGUAGAUACGAAACUGAGGUGCAGAGAACACAACCGGAGGAACCUGUUCUGCACCGUUCAGUGUUCCUCAGCUUCAUUCACCUGACCAAGGAGGAGAAGAGACUACUUUCACAAAACGUCGUAAUGAUAGUUGACAAAUACAUGUAGUGUGACACAGAAACUUAACUACAUACAGGUAACUUGUGAAAGAACAACCAAUGGAUGAUGAUCAAUAAUAAGCAAAUUAGCUAAUUCAAGUACAUCAAACAAGCUUGACAUGAAAACAGUAGUAUCAAAAUGGAAUUGCAAACUAUGAUAACAGUAUCAAAAGGGAUUUUCAAACUAUCAGUUGAUCAAAAGUGGGAAAACAGUAAAACACUGACACAAAGCAGAAAAUCAAGUCAGAAAGACUAUUGCUUGAUUCGGCAACUAGAGUCACGUUCCCCGAAAAAGUUGAGUUGGCGUUGGGAGAAGUUGUGAGAGGAAAGUUCGAAUGGAGUUGUAUAAAAGAUCUCGAGUGGAUAUCGUGUUUCCUAGGAAUCCUUUAUAUCCCUUAAUUCGACUUCCCUUCCACACGAUCCUCCCAAACUCGACUCAAUUUUCUUCUACUAAUCUCAAUUCAACUUUUCUAGGAAAGAUGAUUCUUGUUGGCGAACAAGUCCAAAGAGUUUCAUUUACCAGAAUCAAAGUCCUGUCUAGCUCAGCAAUGCAACUUGACCCACCAUACCACAAACAACAACAACAACAGCAACAUCUGUACCAGAACACAUCAAAAAGGGAAUAGAAACUAGUUACUGAGUAAUUAGUAGAUCUGUUGAAAACCAACCAAUUUGACAGUGAAUUCCCAACUUGAAGAGCUACAGGACAAGAGCAAUUUACCAAAAAUCCAAACACACACAAAAGGAAAGAAAGGCAUCAAUUAGGGGAGUUUCAUACUUUCAUCAAAUCAUCAAAUCAAUGAAGAGAAAUUGUUCUUUCUUUUCUAUAUAUACAAUUCAAAAAAAAGAAGUCAAACUUGUCCAAGUUCCCAGAAAUACGAUAGAGGACACUGAAAAAACCAUAGGAAAUUCAGAAAGCUGAGAACCUUUCCCCCCAACAUUUUCCAUCUGAAUCCAAAAAAACAUUCAAAGACAAACCCAAUAGAGAGCAAUAAGAACCCAUUUCUGAACACAAGAAACCAGUAGUGCACGACAA